GACGAACGCUGGCGGCGUGCCUAAUACAUGCAAGUCGAACGAGAGCACCCGGUGCUUGCACUGGUCAAUCUAGUGGCGAACGGGUGAGUAACACGUGGGUAACCUGCCCAUCAGAGGGGGAUAACAUCCGGAAACGGAUGCUAAAACCGCAUAGGUCUUCGAACCGCAUGGUUUGAAGAGGGAAAGAGGCGCAAGCUUCUGCUGAUGGAUGGACCCGCGGUGCAUUAGCUAGUUGGUGAGGUAACGGCUCACCAAGGCCGUGAUGCAUAGCCGACCUGAGAGGGUGAUCGGCCACAUUGGGACUGAGACACGGCCCAAACUCCUACGGGAGGCAGCAGUAGGGAAUCUUCCGCAAUGGACGCAAGUCUGACGGAGCAACGCCGCGUGAGUGAAGAAGGUUUUCGGAUCGUAAAACUCUGUUGUUAGAGAAGAACAAGUGCUAGAGUAACUGUUAGCGCCUUGACGGUAUCUAACCAGAAAGCCACGGCUAACUACGUG
rnacentral:rRNA from 1 species